AUUGAACGCUGGCGGCAGGCUUAACACAUGCAAGUCGAGCGCGCGGCGGACGGGUGAGUAAUGUCUGGGAAACUGCCUGAUGGAGGGGGAUACCUACGGAAAACGGUAGCUAAUACCGCUAACCAUCAGAUGUUCCCAGAUGGGAUUGGCUAGUAGGUGGGGUAAUGGCUCACCUGGGCGAAGAUCCCUAGCUGGUCUGAGAGGUUGACCGGCCACACGGGAACUGAGACACGGUCCAGACUCCUACGUGAGGCAGCAGUGGGGAAUAUUGCGCAAUGGGCGCAAGCCUGAGGCAGCAAUGCCGCGUGUGUGAAGAAGGCCUUCGGGUUGUAAAGCACUGUUAGCGAGGAGGCGUUACUCGCAGAAGAAGCACCGGCUAACUACGUGCCAGCAGCCGCGGUAAUUC
rnacentral:rRNA from 1 species